rnacentral:lncRNA from 1 species
AAAUUGUUCAAAGAGUAAAAAAUCAUGUCUUCAUAACAUAUUCAAGAUUUUUCAUAAAAUAUUUACAUGUUCAAAAAUGUUUGAGAUUUUAUAAUUUUAUUCACAAUUCUAAAAAAGGUUUGUGUUCCAAAAAGUAAUCGCUUUUCCAAAGAAAAAUAAUUAUUUUGAAGUUUCCAAAAAUGUCCCGCGCUGCCUAUUACCACUUUUGUCCUGGGUUUUUUAGUCCCCCUUGUAUUUAGGGUCAUAUUUCAACCAUGAUUUUAACUAAUAAAAUAUAUGUUAUACAUAGCAAAAUAAUAUUCAUUGAAACUAUGUUCAAAUAUGAAUCAGCCGGUAUAAUUUUUGUAUACAUGCAUUGACAUUUUAUUAGUUAAAUCUUUGGCCAAUAAAUACGAAGGCUAGGCACGCACGCUCACUUUUUGGGAAAUUUUCGCUGUUCAAAGUUCAAACUAAGGUCGGCCCAGUUGGGGGGCACCUUGUGUGAAGGAGCUCGAGCUGUCGCGUGAGCGACAUAUAUGACCUCUCAUGCAGCUUAGACACUGCAACCAUAGUCUUCAUUCCCGAUUCUCAUAUCCACACUACUACAUGCAACACAAAAUUCAUCUAUGUACAUUGCUAGACUAUCUACUCGUCAUCAGAUAUGUCGAUGACGCCCUUGCAGAAGCCGUCGACCUUGUCGUUAUUGGCAGCGAGGCAAAUUUCCGGCGCGUCUUUAUCGUCUCCUCGACUGCAAUGAGCUCCUCACGCGCCAUGUCCACCUCGUGGAUGUAGCGGCGGCUUCCCUCGCCCUCAAGCUCCGGCUGGAUGGACUCAAUGAUGGUCUGCUGCUCUGCCGCCUCCUCUACUUGUGCGACACCGAACUCCACCAGCGCAUCCUCAAUGGCGAAUUCGGUCUGCUCCAACGUUAUUACACAUCGGUAGGCAAACUCAGGCAACGGUAAUAUCUGUUCCGAGCAGCCAUCCUAGGCAAAAGUUAUUACACAAUGCCUCCUCUAGGCCCAUAAAGUGAAGUGAUAUGUAGUUGAGGCUCACACAUGAGUUACGCCACAACAUAAUAUCAAAACAUUGAACUUUACUUAAUUUCACAUGGUUACUAACAACAAGGUUUCUCCCAAGUCCUCAAGAACCUAACGGACUACUCAGAAGACAUCAUAUAGACAUGAUCAGUGGAGGUGAUGAUAUGAUAAAAAAAUAACAUACAAAUAUUUCACCGAUUAAUCCUCUAAGCAUCAAAUGCAAGUAGUAAUGUAUACCCGGAGGUGAUCUCAUCAACUAAUCUGAAGUAAUAGUUCAUAGGUGGAAAAGUAGGGUUGGAGACGGAUGAUGAUUGGAGUGGUUCGUGUGGUGAUGAUGAUAUAACGAUGAAUGGAGUGUUGGUGAUGUCGAUGGCUUUGAUUCCCCACCCCAAGAGGAAGGAUCCUAGAGAAUCAACCCUCUGAGAGGAAAACCUGCUCCGCUCGGUUUCCGCCUCGAAGAUAGCGGCGAAAAAAUCCGGUAAAAUAGAACUGUGGGUUUUGGGGUAAAAUAGGAUUAGGGGUUCCCUGUGGGACCCACCCGCCGUUGUCUCACGACCCAAGGCCUAGACGGAUGGGCCCCAUAGGGGCCUCCUCGACACAUGUAUGCCCCUGGCUCUCUUCCCAUGAGAAAUUUUUAAUUAUUUUUCCAUUUUCUUUCUAGCUCCGCAAAUAUAUUUUGUUCACUCUUCCUUAUGUUAGUGCUUUUCUACAACUUAACGACAAUUUCUUCUCCUCCGGUACAAUAUGCAAAAUAAGAUAGAAAGGUAUGAGAAUUAUGUGAUAUUAUAAAACAUGUAUAAAAAUGAGUAAUUUAUACUAAGAAAUGGUGAUGCAAAAUGAACGUAUCAUUGCUCUCAACAAAGUUCUUGCAAAGCAUGGCGAGAAAGAAGUUCAUGAAGAAGCAAACAAAGUGUCUGAACUUAUUGACAACUUUCUCAAAGAGCAAGGCAAGAGGGAGUUCUUCAAGAAGCUUCUAGAAGUUUUAGAUUUAGAGGCAUAACAAGACUAAAGAUCAUCUCUUGUUGCUACUCUAGUCUAGGUGGGUAAUCUAGUCCUUCUUUCAAACUACUAGAUAACCUAUUGCGUCAUUGGCGCAGAGACCAACUGCAGGUUGAUCUUGUCCAUCUUUUAGCAUCUAGUCAUGUCUUCACUCUUUUCCCUUUUCGUAUUUUAGUAUAUGCGUUUUGCUUGUAGCAUAAUAUACAUUUAUUACCAAGGAUUGUAAAAUUGCUUGUUUCCAUUUUUUUAGCUUAAUAUUCACGCAUGGGCAUAAAACGACUGCAACCGGGGUCAAGAGGGGUAGUUUGGCCAGUUGCCUAUCCACCAUUAGACAUGCAACUACAAGCGUUAUAACCCGACUGCAAUUUCAUGGGCACAAAGCGACUACAACUAAGGUCGAAGGGUGAGUUUUCAGGCUAGACAUUCAACUAGAACCAUUGUAUUUUGACCGCAACUAGACUGACACAAAGCAACUUCAAUUGGGGUCGGUAGGGGGGUUGUUGGGACCUGUUGCAUGUCCACCACUAGACAUCCAACUGCAAACGUUGUAACCCAACUGCAACUCCACGGGCACGAAGCUACUACAAUUGAGGUCUGAAGUGAAGUUGUUGGGGCCAGUGAAGGAAAUAUGCCCUAGAGGCAAUAAUAAACUUAUUAUUUAUUUCCUUAUUUCAUGAUAAAUGUUUAUUAUUCAUGCUAGAAUUGUAUUAUCCGGAAACAUAAUACUUGUGUGAAUACAUAGACAAACCAAACGUCACUAGUAUGCCUCUACUUGACUAGCUCGUUAAUCAAAGAUGGUUAUGUUUCCUAACCAUAGACAUGUGUUGUCAUUUGAUUAACGAGAUCACAUUAUUAGGAGAAUGAUGUGAUUGACAUGACCCAUUCCAUUAGCUUAGCACCCGAUCGUUUAGUAUGUUGCUAUUGCUUUCUUCAUGACUUAUACAUGUUCCUAUGACUAUGAGAUUAUGCAACUCCCGUUUGCCGGAGGAACACUUUGUGUGCUACCAAACGUCACAACGUAACUGGGUGAUUAUAAAGGAUCUCUACAGGUGUCUCCAAAGGUAAAUGUUGGGUUGGCGUAUUUCGAGAUUAGGAUUUGUCACUCCGACUGUCGGAGAGGUAUCUCUGGGCCCUCUCGGUAAUGCACAUCACAUAAGCCUUGCAAGCAUUGCAACUAAUGAGUUGGUUGCGAGAUGAUGUAUUACGAAACGAGUAAAGAGACUUGCCGGUAACGAGAUUGAACUAGGUAUUGAGAUACCGACGAUCGAAUCUCGGGCAAGUAACAUACCGAUGACAAAGGGAACAGUGUAUGUUGUUAUGCGGUCUGACCGGUAAAGAUCUUCGUAGAAUAUGUGGGAGCCAAUAUGAGCAUCCAGGUUCCGCUAUUGGUUAUUGACCGGAGACAUGUCUCGGUCAUGUCUACAUUGUUCUCGAACCCGUAGGGUCCGCACGCUUAAGGUUUUGAUGAUAGUUAUAUUAUGAGUUUAUGCAUUUUGAUGUACCAAAGUUUGUUCGGAGUCCCGGAUGUGAUCACGGACAUGACGAGGAGUCUCAAAAUGGUCGAGACAUAAAGAUUGAUAUAUUGGAAGCCUAAAUUUGGAUAUCGGAAGUGUUCCGGGUGAAAUCGGGAUUUUACCGGAGUACCGGGAGGUUACCGGAACCCCCCGGGAGGUAUAUGGGCCUUAGUGGGCUUUAGUGGAAGAGAGGAUAGGUGGCCAGGGCUGGGCCGCGCGCCCCUCCCCCCUAGUCCGAAUAGGACAAGGAGAGGGGGGCGGCGCCCCCCCUUCCUUCUCUCUCUCCUCUUUCCCCCUCCCGAAUCCUAUUCCAACUAGGAAAGGGGGGAAUCCUACUCCCGGUGGGAGUAGGACUCCUCCUGGCGCGCCCUCCUCCUGGACGGCCGCACCCCUCCUUUGAUCCUUUAUAUACGGGGGCAGGGGGCACCCCUAGACACACAAGUUGAUCCACGUGAUCAUAUUCUUAGCCGUGUGCGGUGCCCCCUUCCACCAUAAUCCUCGAUAAUAUUGUAGCGGUGCUUAGGCGAAGCCCUGCGACGGUAGAGCAUCAAGAUCGUCACCACGCCGUCGUGCUGACGGAACUCUUCCCCGACACUUUGCUGGAUCGGAGUCCGGGGAUCGUCAUCGAGCUGAACGUGUGCUAGAACUCGGAGGUGCCGUAGUUUCGGUGCUUGAUCGGUCGGGCCGUGAAGACGUACGACUACAUCAACCGCGUUGUGCUAACGCUUCCGCUGUCGGUCUACAAGGGUACGUAGAUCACACUCUCCCCUCUCGUUGCGAUACAUCACCAUGAUCUUGCGUGUGCGUAGGAAAAUUUUGAAAUUACUACGUUCCCCAACAGUGGCAUCCGAGCCUAGGUUUUAUGUGUUGAUGUUAUAUGCACGAGUAGAACACAAGUGAGUUGUGGGCGAUAUAAGUCAUACUGCUUACCAGCACGUCAUACUUUGGUUCGGCGGUAUUGUUGGACGAAGCGGCCCGGACCGACAUUACGCGUACGCUUACGCGAGACCGGUUCUCCCGACGUGCUUUGCACAUAGGUGGCUUGCGGGUGACAGUUUCUCCAACUUUAGUUGAACCGAGUGUGGCUAUGCCCAGUCCUUGCGAAGGUUAAAACAGCACCAACUUGACAAACUAUCGUUGUGGUUUUGAUGCGUAGGUAAGAUUGGUUCUUGCUUAAGCCCGUAGCAGCCACGUAAAACUUGCAACAACAAAGUAGAGGACGUCUAACUUGUUUUUGCAGGGCAUGUUGUGAUGUGAUAUGGUCAAGACAUGAUGCUAAAUUUUAUUGUAUGAGAUGAUCAUGUUUUGUAACCGAGUUAUCGGCAACUGGCAGGAGCCAUAUGGUUGUCGCUUUAUUGUAUGCAAUGCAAUUGCGCUAUAAUGCUUUACUUUAUCACUAAGCGGUAGCGAUAGUCGUGGGAGCAUAAGAUUGGCGAGACGACAACGAUGCUACGAUGGAGAUCAAGGUGUCGCGCCGGUGACGAUGGUGAUCACGACGGUGCUUCGAAGAUGGAGAUCACAAGCAUAAGAUGAUGAUGGCCAUAUCAUAUCACUUAUAUUGAUUGCAUGUGAUGUUUACCUUUUAUGCAUCUUAUCUUGCUUUGAUUGACGGUAGCAUUAUAAGAUGAUCUCUCACUAAUUAUCAAGAAGUGUUCUCCCUGAGUAUGCACCGUUGCGAAAGUUCUUUGUGUUGAGACACCACGUGAUGAUCGGGUGUGAUAGGCUCUACGUUCAAAUACAACGGGUGCAAAACAGUUGCACACGCAGAAUACUCAGGUUAUACUUGACGAGCCAAGCAUAUACAGAUAUGGCCUCGGAACACGGAGACCGAAAGGUCGAGCGUGAAUCAUAUAGCAGAUAUGAUCAACAUAGUGAUGUUCACCAAUGAAACUACUCCAUCUCACGUGAUGAUCGGACAUGGUUUAGUUGAUUUGGAUCACGUAAUCACUUAGAGGAUUAGAGGGAUGUUUAUCUAAGUGGGAGUUCUUAAGUAAUAUGAUUAAUUGAACCUAAAUUUAUCAUGAACUUAGUACCUGAUAGUAUCUUGCUUGUUUAUGUUUUAUUGUAGAUAGAUGGCCCGUGUUGUUGUUCCGUUGAAUUUUAAUGCGUUCCUUGAGAAAGCAAAGUUGAAAGAUGAUGGUAGCAAUUACACGGACUGGGUCCGUAACUUGAGGAUUAUCCUCAUUGCUGCAUAGAAGAAUUACGUCCUGGAAGCACCGCUAGGUGCCAGGCCUACUGCUGGAGCAACACCAGAUGUUAUGAACGUCUGGAAGAGCAAAGCUGAUGACUACUCAAUAGUUCAGUGUGCCAUGCUUUACGGCUUAGAAUCGGGACUUCAACGACGUUUUGAACGUCAUGGAGCAUAUGAGAUGUUCCAUGAGUUGAAGUUAAUAUUUCAAGCAAAUGCCCGGAUUGAGAGAUAUAAAGUCUCCAAUAAGUUCUAUAGCUGAAAGAUGGAGGAGAACAGUUCUGUCAGUGAGCAUAUACUCAAAAUGUCUGGGUAUAAUAAUCACUUGAUUCAAUUGGGAGUUAAUCUUCCAGAUGAUUGCGUCAUUGACAGAAUUCUUCAAUCACUGCCACCAAGCUACAAGAGCUUCAUGAUGAACUAUAAUAUGCAAGGGAUGAAUAAGACUAUUCCUGAGCUCUUCGCAAUGCUGAAAGCUGCGGAGGUAGAAAUCAAGAAGGAGCAUCAAGUGUUGAUGGUCAACAAGACCACUAGUUUCAAGAAAAAGAGCAAAGGGAAGAAGAAGGGGAACUUUAGAAAGAAUAGCAAGCAAGUUGCUACUCAAGAGAAGAAACCCAAACCUGGACCUAAGCCUGAAACUGAGUGCUUCUACUGCAAGCAGACUGGUCACUGGAAGCGGAACUUCCCCAAGUAUUUGGCGGAUAAGAAGGAUGGCAAGGUGAACAAAGGUAUAUGUGAUAUACAUGUUAUUGAUGUGUACCUUACUAAUGCUCGCAGUAGCAUCUGGGUAUUUGAUACUGGUUCUGUUGCUAAUAUUUGCAACUCGAAACAGGGACUACGGAUUAAGCGAAGAUUGACUAAGGACGAGGUGACGAUGCGCGUAGGAAAUGGUUCCAAAGUCGAUGUGAUCGCAGUCGGCACGCUACCUCUACAUCUACCUUCGAGAUUAGUAUUAGACCUAAAUAAUUGUUAUUUGGUGCCAGCGUUAAGCAUGAACAUUAUAUCUGGAUCUUGUUUGAUGCGAGACAGUUAUUCAUUUAAAUCAGAGAAUAAUGGUUGUUCUAUUUAUAUGAGUAAUAUCUUUUAUGGUCAUGCACCCUUAAAGAGUGGUCUAUUCUUAUUAAAUCUCGAUAGUAGUGACACACAUAUUCAUAGUGUUGAAGCCAAAAGAUGCAGAGUUGAUAAUGAUAGUGCAACUUAUUUGUGGCACUGCCUUUUGGGUCAUAUCGGUAUAAAGCACAUGAAGAAACUCCAUACUGAUGGGCUUUUGGAACCACUUGAUUAUGAAUCACUUGGUACUUGCGAACCGUGCCUUAUGGGUAAGAUGAUAAAAACACCGUUCUCCGGUACUAUGGAGAUAGCAACAGAUUUAUUGGAAAUCAUACAUACAGAUGUAUGUGGUCCGAUGAAUGUUGAGGCUCGUGGCGGAUGUCGUUAUUUUCUCACCUUCACAGAUGACUUAAGCAGAUAUGGGUAUAUCUACUUAAUGAAACAUAAGUCUGAAACAUUUGAAAGUUCAAAGAAUUUCAGAGUGAAGUUGAAAAUCAUCGUAACAAGAAAAUAAAAUUCCUACGAUCUGAUCAUUGAGGAGAAUAUUUGAGUUACGAGUUUGGUGUACAUUUGAAACAAUGUGGAAUAGUUUCGCAACUCACGCCACCCGGAACACCACAGCGUAAUGGUGUGUCCGAACGUCGUAAUCGUACUUUACUAGAUAUGGUGCGAUCUAUGAUGUCUCUUACUGAUUUACCGCUAUCAUUUUGGGGAUAUGCUCUAGAGACGGCCGCAUUCAUGUUAAAUAGGGCACCAUCAAAAUCCGUUGAGACGACGCCUUAUGAACUGUGAUUUGGCAAGAAACCAAAGUUGUCGUUUCUGAAAGUUUGGGGCUGCGAUGCUUAUGUGAAAAAGCUUCAACCUGAUAAGCUCGAACCCAAAUCGGAGAAAUGUGUCUUCAUAGGAUAUCCAAAGGAAACUAUUGGAUGCACCUUCUAUCACAGAUCCGAAGGCAAGACUUUUGUUGCUAAAUUCGGAAACUUUCUGGAGAAGGAGUUUCUCUCGAAAGAAGUGAGUGGGAGGAAAGUAGAACUUGACGAGGUAACUGUACCUACUCCCUUAUUGGAAAGUAGUACAUCAUAGAAAACUGUUUCAGUGACACCUACACCAAUUAGUGAGGAAGCUAAUGAUGAUGAUCAUAAAACUUUAGAUCAAGAUACUACUGAACCUCGUAGAUCAACCAGAGUGAGAUCCGCGCCAGAGUGGUACGGUAAUCCUGUUCUGGAAGUCAUGCUACUAGAUCAUGAUGAACCUACGAACUAUGAAGAAGCGAUAGUGAGCCCAGAUUCCGCAAAAUGGCUUGAAGCCAUGAAAUCUGAGAUGGGAUCCAUGUAUGAGAACAAAGGAUGGACUUUGGUUGACUUGCCCGACGAUCGGCAAGCAAUUGAAAAUAAAUGGAUCUUCAGGAAGAAGACUGACGCUGACGGUAAUAUUACUAUCUAAAAAGCUCGACUUGUCGCAAAAGGUUUUCGACAAGUUCAAGGGAUUGACUACGAUGAGACCUUCUCACCCGUAGCGAUGCUUAAGUCUGUCCGAAUCAUGUUAGCAAUUGCCGCAUUUUAUGAUUAUGAAAUUUGGCAGAUGGAUGUCAAAACUGCAUUCCUGAAUGGAUUUCUGGAAGAAGAGUUGUAUAUGAUGCAACCAGAAGGUUUUGUCGAUCCAAAGGGAGCUAACAAAGUGUGCAAGCUCCAGCGAUCCAUUUAUGGACUGGUGCAAGCCUCUCGGAGUUGGAAUAAACGCUUUGAUAGUGUGAUCAAAGCAUUUGGUUUUAUACAGACUUUUGGAGAAGCCUGUAUUUACAAGAAAGUGAGUGGGAGCUCUGUAGCAUUUCUGAUAUUAUAUGUAGAUGACAUAUUGCUAAUCGGAAAUGAUAUAGAAUUUCUAGAUAGCAUAAAAGGAUACUUGAAUAAGAGUUUUUCAAUGAAAGACCUCGGUGAAGCUGCUUACAUAUUGGUCAUUAAGAUCUAUAGAGAUAGAUCAAGACGCUUAAUUGGACUUUCACAAAGCACAUACCUUGACAAAGUUUUGAAGAAGUUCAAAAUGGAUCAAGCAAAGAAAGGAUUCUUGCCUGUGUUACAAGGUAUGAAAUUGAGUAAGACUCAAUCCCCGACCAAUGCAGAAGAUAGAGAGAAAAUGAAAGAUGUUCCCUAUGCUUCAGCCAUAGGCUCUAUCAUGUAUGCAAUGUUGUGUACCAGACCUGAUGUGUGUCUUGCUAUAAGUCUAGCAGGGAGGUACCAAAGUAAUCCAGGAGUGGAUCAUUGGACAGCGGUCAAGAACAUCCUGAAAUACCUGAAAAGGACUAAGGAUAUGUUUCUCAUAUAUGGAGGUGACAAAGAGCUCAUCGUAAAUGGUUACGUUGAUGCAAGCUUUGACACUGAUCCGGACGAUUCUAAAUCACAAACUGGAUACGUGUUUACAUUAAACGGUGGAGCUGUCAGUUGGUGCAGUUCUAAACAAAGCGUUGUGGCGGGAUCUACAUGUGAAGCGGAGUACAUAGCUGCUUCGGAAGCAGCAAAGGAAGGAGUUUGGAUGAAGGAGUUCAUAUCCGAUCUAGGUGUCAUACCUAGUGCAUCGGGUCCAAUGAAAAUCUUUUGUGACAAUACUAGUGCAAUUGCCUUGGCAAAGGAAUCCAGAUUUCACAAGAAAACCAAGCACAUCAAGAGACGCUUCAAUUCCAUCCGGAAUCUAGUCCAGGUGGGAGACAUAGAGAUUUGGAAGAUACGUACGGAUCUGAAUAUAGCAGACCCGUUGACUAAGCCUCUUCCACGAGCAAAACAUGAUCAGCACCAAAGCUCCAUGGGUGUUAGAAUCAUUACUGUGUAAUCUAGAUUAUUGACUCUAGUGCAAGUGGGAGACUGAAGGAAAUAUUCCCUAGAGGCAAUAAUAAAGUUAUUAUUUAUUUCCUUAUUUCAUGAUAAAUGUUUAUUAUUCAUGCUAGAAUUGUAUUAUCCGGAAACAUAAUACUUGUGUGAAUACAUAGACAAACCAAACGUCACUAGUAUGCCUCUACUUGACUAGCUCGUUAAUCAAAGAUGGUUAUGUUUCCUAACCAUAGACAUGUGUUGUCAUUUGAUUAACGAGAUCACAUUAUUAGGAUAAUGAUGUGAUUGACAUGACCCAUUCCAUUAGCUUAGCACCCGAUCGUUUAGUAUGUUGCUAUUGCUUUCUUCAUGACUUAUACAUGUUCCUAUGACUAUGAGAUUAUGCAACUCCCGUUUGCCGGAGGAACACUUUGUGUGCUACCAAACGUCACAACGUAACUGGGUGAUUAUAAAGGAUCUCUACAGGUGUCUCCAAAGGUAAAUGUUCGGUUGGCGUAUUUCGAGAUUAGGAUUUGUCACUCUGAUUGUCGGAGAGGUAUCUCUGGGCCCUCUCGGUAAUGCACAUCACAUAAGCCUUGCAAGCAUUGCAACUAAUGAGUUGGUUGCGAGAUGAUGUAUUACGAAACGAGUAAAGAGACUUGCCGGUAACGAGAUUGAACUAGGUAUUGAGAUACCGACGAUCGAAUCUCGGGCAAGUAACAUACCGAUGACGAAGGGAACAACGUAUGUUGUUAUGCGGUCUGACCGAUAAAGAUCUUCGUAGAAUAUGUGGGAGCCAAUAUGAGCAUCCAGGUUCCGCUAUUGGUUAUUGACUGGAGACGUGUCUCGGUCAUGUCUACAUUGUUCUCGAACCCGUAGGGUCCGCACGCUUAAGGUUUCGAUGACAGUUAUAUUAUGAGUUUAUGCAUUUUGAUGUACCAAAGUUUGUUCGGAGUCCCGGAUGUGAUCACGAACAUGACGAGGAGUCUCGAAGUGGUCGAGACAUAAAGAUUGAUAUAUUGGAAGCCUAAAUUUGGAUAUCGGAAGUGUUCCGGGUGAAAUCGGGAUUUUACCAGAGUACCGGGAGGUUAUCGGAACCCCCCGGGAGGUAUAUGGGCCUUAGUGGGCUUUAGUGGAAGAGAGGAGAGGUGGCCAGGGCUGGGCCGCGCGCCCCUCCCCCCUAGUCCGAAUAGGACAAGGAGAGGGGGGCAGCGCCCCCCUUCCUUCUUUCUCUCCUCUUUCCCCCUCCCGAAUCCUAUUCCAACUAGGAAAGGGGGGGGGGGAAUCCUACUCCCGGUGGGAGUAGGACUCCUCCUGGCGCGCCCUCCUCCUGGCCGGCCGCACCCCCCUUUGAUCCUUUAUAUACGGGGGCAGGGGGCACCCCUAGACACACAAGUUGAUCCACGUGAUCAUAUUCUUAGCCGUGUGCGGUGCCCCCUUCCACCAUAAUCCUCGAUAAUAUUGUAGCGGUGCUUAGGCGAAGCCCUGCGACGGUAGAGCAUCAAGAUCGUCACCACACCGUCGUGCUGAUGGAACUCUUCCCCGACACUUUGCUGGAUCGGAGUCCGGGGAUCGUCAUCGAGCUGAACGUGUGCUAGAACUCGGAGGUGCCGUAGUUUCGGUGCUUGAUCGGUCGGGCCAUGAAGACGUACGACUACAUCAACCGCGUUGUGCUAACGCUUCCGCUGUCGGUCUACAAGGGUACGUAGAUCACACUCUCCCCUCUCGUUGCGAUACAUCACCAUGAUCUUGCGUGUGCGUAGGAAAAUUUUGAAAUUACUACAUUCCCCAACAGCCAGUUGCAUGCCACCAGACAUGCAGGUGCAAGUGUUGUAACCCGACUACAACUUCGCGGGCACAAAACGAGUGCAAUUAGGGUUAACUUGAACUUUUUCCCUACUAGUCACACGCGUGUGCCCUGUUGAACACAACGCAUCCAUGCACAAUUACAACCAUCACAACACGUGUGCAACUAGUGUCCAGCUAUUUUUUUUCCUGCUAGUCGCACAUGCGCGAGUUGCACGUGACCCACUCAUGCACAAUUGCAACUAGUGUCCACAUGCGCGAAUUGCACGUGACCACCCAUGCACCAUUGCAAUUGUGGCAACACGUAUGCAACUGGUGUCAACCUUUUUUUUCUUACUAGUCGCAUGUGCAUGGGUUGACCACUAUGCCCCCGUGCGUAAUUGGAAGCGCCUAACUAGAAACUGGACAACUACAACUAAACAAUAGCCCAGUGACCUGGAUAAAUGAGACAUAGUCAUGUCUCAACUAGAUGAGUUCUAGGCGUUCUUAAGGGAUAUAUGCUUUUGUAUAGUUUCUCACACUUGAUGACGGGAGCAAAAUACAUGAUGUUUUAUGAAUGGAAGGUGAACACUACAGUUUUUUUUGUGAGAAGCACAAUACAAACGCAGAAGCUCACAAACACAUAUAUGCAUUCAUAUCUAUAAACACGCGCGCGUGCACACACACAAUACCCCUAUGAGUACGUCCAAGAGACUAAGCAGACUAUUGACUUGGUCAUUAUAGGCGCCUCACUAUCCACGAAAACAUCACCUUCCACCGAAAGUAUAUUCCCUUUUUCUUUGAGACACCAAAGCGUCAAACCCGAGGUUUGAACUCUGUUGGACUUGGGGUAUCACUGCCCUUCUAAAAUUGUAAUGUAGUACAAGAUCAUCAUGCUGCGUGAUAUGCAUCGGAAAGAAGGAAUAGGCAUAGGCGGCGGUUCUUGUGGAUGCACAGUUAGAUGUGUAAAUCUGAAAUUAGUUGGUUAAUGCCUUAUGGAGUAUGGGGUGAUUUAGCAUAGACUUGGUUGGAUCUUGAGCCUUUCUAUUUGAUGGUUCUGCAAUGGCAUCUCGGCAUGUGCAGCGUGUUAUAUUCUUACUAGUUGCAAACUCGAAGGCGGUCAACCUUUUUUUUAAGUCGGCCCUGGAGGAUCUCGAUUUAUAUAUUAAAAAGGAGAGAAGAAUUUCCUGGUUAAUAUGCAGAAAACCGGUUACUUUUUUCUGUGACAGUGAAGGCGGUCAACAAGUAUUUGCUUUCAUGAGGCAUGAUGAACAAGCUACUAAUGCUGUCACCUUUUAUUAGAAGUGCUUCAGUACACUCCGAAAACUGCAAAACAAAAAAGGUAUUUUUCGUCCAUCAAAAUAAAUCAAAAGAUUUCGGCUCAAAAACAAUCAAAAGAUCAACCCCCAAUUGUGUAAUUAAUUAAUUGAUUUAGGCCUAUAAUAACAACCAAAGCAUGUUAAUCACCAUAUUACAGUGCCAGCAACUUGGAUAGAUGGUUCGAUAGACAUUUACACAGAUGCAUAACUACACGUUAGAGUAAUAACUUGCAUAGAUGGGUUCUCCAAGUACAGAUAGUUAGAUCUGCUUCGUGCCUUCAUCCAACCACCAUUGCUGUGGCGUUCUUGGGCGGGCCGCGUGCACGGAUCGUCGGGGGCGGGGGCGUGUACUCGACGUACGGCCUGGGGAGCUCGACGUAGCCCUUGGUGAGCAGGUCGACGCGCAUCUUGGCGACGAGGAACCGCGAGUUGUCGGGGUCGUCCCUCUUCUUCUCCGGCUUCAUCUCCCCGUCCAGCAUCCGCCUCCGCUCACCCAGCCACACGAGCGGAUCCACCCCGGCGGGCGGGUAGUCAUCGGCGCUGAAAGUCAACCGCCAGUUGGCGCACUCGAAGGUGGCGAUGAUGCUCUUGUCGUCCAGGCGAACCAUGCCAUGGACGGUCGGGGGCGCGGUGGAGGGCGUGGACUCCCUGAUGACCCUGUCGACCGCGUGGUAGAGCUGAAGCUCGUCCAGCGCCGCCGCCUCGGGGAAGGUUAGCAGGUUCGACUUGAUCCUCUCCCGCUGCAUAGCGAGGGCGGCCGGCGAAGGGGGCGCCUCGCCCGCCCCGGCAUUGCGAACAUCGCCGGAGCCGGGCGCCUUCCUUUUGAUGCCGGGCAUCGGCGGGUGGAUCUACUGGCUACUGCCUCGCCGCGGAAAGUGGGACGGAUUUUGGGGGAUUGGGGACUUGGUGCGGCGGCGGCGGCGUCGUCUCGAUUUCUAUAUAAAGGCAGAAACUUGGACCAUUUUUGUUGAGAGAGAUCGACGGACGAAAUCACUAUUCUGACCCUUUGAACGAACUUUGUCACAAAAUGAACUCGACGUGAAAGUAUUUCACGAUCUAACCCUUUUAGCAACGCCAUAGCCCGCGGCGUUUCUGCUCAAAGAAGAAACACCGAGGUAGCUAGUGUUUCUGAUCAAAGAAGAAACACUGAGGUAGCUAGCAUUGCGGACCAGAUAAGAAACGCCGAAGGCGCUGGCGUUUCUGGCCAUCAUAGAAACGCCAAGGAACCAUGGCGUUGCUGCCCUCUUUGGUCAUAAUUAAUUAGCCUUAUUAAUUAGGUUGUUCAUCAUUAGUAGAAAAAGGGUCAAACGUGAAGCACAUUAGUGUCGGUUUGUAUUUGAGCCAGCACUAAUGUAUACAUUAGUGCCGGUUCCAACGGCUAGCCGGGCCGCUUUCAUUAGUACCGGUUCGUGGCGAACCUUUAGCACCGGUUCGUGCCACGAACCGGUACUAAUGAGAGUGGUGGCAGGAUGUUGUCAGACUGGGGCCCCUCCAGUCCCUUUAGUACCGGUUCUUGGCACGAACCGGUACUAAAGGUCAUCCUACAUAGACCCUUCGUCCACCCGAGCUCGCUCUGUUCUUCCCCUUUUCCCUCUCCUCUCUGUUCUUCCCCUCUUCCUCUCAAGCUCAUCACACAUUUUGCCCAAAAUUUGUCAAGAGUUGAAGGCCCCCAUCCAUUCAAAUCAUCACAAAGGUUAGCAAUUUUGUCCUUUCAUCUCUCAUUGCUAGAUUAGCUUGUGCAAUGCUUUAUAUAGUGAUUGAUUUUUGAGUUUAGUAAUUUGGGAGGAUAUAUAUAUAUAUAUGUGUGUGUGUGUGUGUGUGUGUGUGCGCGCGCGCGCUAGUAUUUAAUUUAUAUGCAAUUUGAGGUCAAAAAUAACACUUAGUUUGCAUAUGUAGGUGUGGUUUACUUAGUGCCUUCUAAAUCUCCGUCGUAACCAUCGUCGAUCGCCCGCACCGUCCCGUCGCCGGCACCACCUUGUGGUGAGCCUCUUGUUCACGAAAUUUUAUAUAAAAAUUGAUGUUUGUGUGAUUUGGAUAUAUAGUUGCUCGUAUAAUUAUCUUACCCGUACGUUGUUUGUUAUACAUAUAGUGCCAUGGUUUUGAUAUCCGUCCCCGUCGGCCCUCGUCCUUGUUAUGAUUCGGAUGUGGUAUAUAUAUUCUCUUUUAAAACUAGUUGCAUUUCGUGUUUAUGAAAAAUUAUGCCCAUCAAGUUGACAUAGAUAUUUGUAUGUAGGAGGUAGUUGAACCGGAAAUUCCACCCAACCCUAUUGUCGAGAGGUUAAAUUUAGUUGAAAGAGAAAACGAGGAUUUGAAGGAAAAAUUGAAAAGAAUUGAGGGGGAGAAGAUGGAAUUGGAGUUGCAUGUUGCCGAUGUCGUCGAUGAUCACAAGAUCAAGAUGGAGAAAAUGCGCUUGAAGAUUAGAAAGAUUAGAAAAUAUGCCAUCGAUAGUGAGGCUUGGUAUCAUUAUGCUGUUGGAUCCAUUGUUACCUUAGUUGCGAUCUUGAUCGUAUUUGUUGUUACAUUUAAAUGCUUUAGCUAGAGAGUUAUUUGUUUGUUGCAUUUAAGUGUUGUAUGAAUUUUAUGUAUGAACUUGUAUUAAUUUGGUUUAUUUGGUGUUGUGUAAUGAAGAUAAGCCGGCAAUGGAUGUAUGAUGACCGAUGUUCUCCCCAGUUCGUUGAGGGCGUGCAUACUUUUCUGCUUGCGGCUGAGGCAAACAAGCGGGCGGAUGGUUUUAUGCCUUGUCCAUGUGCUCGCUGUAAGAAUGGUCACAAUUACUCUACGUCAAGAACCAUUCACGUCCACCUGUUUAAGUCCGGUUUCAUGCCCCACUAUAAUGUUUGGACCAAGCACGGAGAAAUAGGGGUUAUGAUGGAAGACAAUGAAGAAGAAGAGGACGACGACAGCUAUCCUGGCCAUGGGUUCCCUGAAUAUGAUGAUACAACAAUGGGGGAAGAAGCUGAGCCGGUAAUGCGGGAAGAAGCUGAGCCGGCAAUGCGGGAAGAAGCUGAAGAAAAGGCAUCAGAUGAGCCCGUUGAUGAUCUAGGUCGGGCCAUUGCCGAUGCAAAGAGAAACUGCGCAAGUGAUUUGAAGAAGAAGAAGUUGCAGCGCAUGUUAGAGGAUCACAAAAAAUUGUUGUACCCGAAUUGCGUAGGUGACAAGAAAAAGCUGGGCACCACACUGGAAUUGCUGCAAUGGAAGGCAGAGAAUGGUGUAUCUGACAAGGGAUUUGGAAAGCUGCUGGUAAUGAUAAAGGAUAUGCUUCCAAAGGACAAUGAAUUGCCCGAGAGUACGUACGAAGUAAAGAAGGCUGUCUGCCCUCUAGGGUUAGAGGUGCAGAACAUACAUGCAUGCCCUAAUGAUUGCAUCCUCUACCGCGGUGAGUACGAGGAUUUGAACGCUUGCCCGGUAUGUGGUGCAUUGCGCUAUAAAAUCAGCCGCGAUGACCCUGGUGAUGUCGAGGGUGAGCGCCCCAGGAAGAAGAUUCCUGCCAAGGUGAUGUGGUAUGCUUCUAUAAUACCACGGUUGAAACGUUUGUUCCAAAACAAAGAGCAUGCCAAGGCGAUGCGAUGGCACAGAGAAGACCGUAAGAAAGACGGAAAGUUGAGAGUACCCGCUGACGGGUCGCAAUGGAGAAAAAUCGAAAGAAAGUACGGGAAGAUGUUUGCAGAUGACGCAAGGAGCGUAUGGUUUGGUCUAAGCGCGGAUGGCAUUAAUCCUUUUGGGGAGCAGAGCAGCAAUCAUAGCACCUGGCCUGUGACUCUAUGUUUGUAUAACCUUCCUCCUUGAUUGUGCAUGAAGCGGAAGUUCAUUAUGAUGCCAGUGCUCAUCCAAGGUCCUAAGCAACCCGGCAACGACAUUGAUGUGUACCUAAGGCCAUUAGUUGAAGAACUCUUACAACUGUGGAAUGGAACAGGUGUACGUGCGUGGGAUGAGCACAUGGGGAAGAAUUUGACCUAAAGGCGUUGCUGUUCGUGACCAUCAAUGAUUGGCCUGCUCUCAGUAACCUUUCAGGACAGACAAACAAGGGAUACCGCGCAUGCACGCACUGUUUGGACGAUACCGACAGUAUAUAUUUGGCUAAUUGUAAGAAGAAUGUGUACCUGGGACAUCGUCGAUUUCUUCCGAGCAAGCAUCCCGUAAGAAAGAAAGGCAAGCAUUUCAAAGUUGAGGCGGAUCAACGGACGAAGCCUCGCCACCGUACUAGUGCUGAUGUACAUGAUAUGGUCAAGGAUUUGAAGGUGGUCUUUGGAAAGGGUCCUGGUGGACAACCUGUUCCGAAUGACGCUGACGGACGCGCACCCAUGUGGAAGAAGAAAUCUAUAUUUUGGGACCUGCCCUAUUGUAAAGACCUAGAGGUCCGCUCCGCAGUCGACGUGAUGCACGUGACGAAGAAUCUUUGUGUGACCCUGCUUGGCUUCUUGGGCGUGUAUGGGAAGACAAAAGAUACACCUGAGGCACGAGAGGACCAGCAACGUAUGCACGGAAAAGACGGCAUACAUCGGGGUCAUGCAAGCUACGCUCUUACCAAAGAAGAGAAGGAAAUCUUCUUUGAAUGCCUGCUCAGUAUUAAGGUACCAUCUGGCUUCUCGUCGAAUAUAAAGGGAAUAAUAAAUAUGGCAGAGAAAAAAUUUCAGAACCUAAAGUCUCAUGACUGCCACGUGAUUAUGAUGCAACUGCUUCUGGUUGCAUUGAGGGGGCUUCUACCGGAAAACGUUCGAUUAGCCAUUGUGAAGCUAUGUGCAUUUCUCAAUGCAAUCUCUCAGAAGGUAAUCGAUCCAGAAAUCAUACCAAGGUUAGAGAAUGAUUUGGUGCAAUGUCUUGUCAGUUUCGAGUUGGUGUUCCCAUCAUCCUUCUUCAACAUCAUGACGCACGUCCUAGUUCACCUAUGCGAAGAGAUUAACGUUUUGGGUCCUGUAUUUCUACAUAAUAUGUUCCCCUUUGAGAGGUUCAUGGGAGUCUUAAAGAAAUAUGUUCAUAACCGUGCUAGGCCAGAAGGAAGCAUCUCCAAGGGCCGUCAAAAUGAGGAUGUCAUUGAGUUUUGUAUUGACUUUAUUCCUGACCUUAAGCCGAUUGGUGUUCCUGAAUCGACGCAUAAGGGCAGACUGGAUGGAAAAGGCACGCUAGGAGGGGAACAAAUAAUAUGUAUGGACAGACAUUCUCUCACUGAAGCACACUACACAGUUCUACAGAAUUUCGCCUUGGUGGCUCCUUAUAUGGAUGAACACAAGAAUUUGCUACGCUCCAAACACCCGGAGCGGUCUGAUGACUGGAUUACACAUGAACAAACCAGGAGUUUCGCCAGCUGGUUGCAGACACGUACCAUGCAUGACACCUCUAUUGAAGAUGACCUGUACUUGCUAUCCCAGUUACCAUCUUCGAAUAUAAUGACUUUCAAAGGGUACGAGAUAAAUGGUAAUACAUUUUACACGAUUGCCCAAGAUAAGAAGAGCACCAACCAAAACAGUGGUGUCCGCUUUGAUGCAGAAACCAAGACGGGAAAGGAAACAUAUUAUGGUUAUAUACAGGACAUAUGGGAACUUGACUAUCGACGUGGUUUGAAGGUCCCUUUGUUUCGGUGCAAAUGGGUCAAUAUGACACGAGGCGGGGUAACGGAACACCCGCAGUAUGGAAUGACAACAGUGGAUCUCAACAAUCUUGCGUAUGCAGACGAACCAUUCGUCCUAGCCAAUGAUGUGGCACAGGUUUUCUAUGUGAAGGACAUGUCUACCAAGCCAAAAAAAAAGAAAAGAUAAGGAAGCGAAUGCAUCGUACGAUGAGCCCAAGCGGCACAUAGUUUUUUCUAGGAAGAGAAACAUCGUGGGAGUGGAUGACAAGACAGACAAGUCAGAAGAUUAUGAAAAGUUUGAUGAAAUUGCUCCAUUCACAGUGAAUAUUGACCCGAGCAUCCCGUUAAAUGAUGAAGAUUUUCCAUGGUUACGACGCAAAGGGACACACGCGAAGAAAAAGUUUCACACCCAAAGAUCUGGGAUGUGAUCGGCUUCACUAUCAUCACUUUCUUCUGUGUUUCACACCCAGAAGGGAAUCUCUGUAAUAGUUAGGGUAGUUAAUUAUGUGUUUUGGCAUUUGAAACGCGAAAAAAAUUUAUGUGCAAACAAAUUAUUUCAUGCCUUUACUGAUUUUUAAAGUUAAGUUAUUUACAAACUAGUGAUUCACACUAAUUUCAAAUAAUUCAAAAUUUAAACUAUUCAAAUUUGAAAACUACGGGCACUAACAGAAAGUUUGUAAUUUUUUGUACCUAAAGCAAAAAUAUUCACAAAGAAACUCUAAAUACACAAAAAACAACUCAAAAAUAAAUAAAGCAAAGAAAAAUAAAAAAGCCCGCCUGCUAGGCCAAAGCGGCCGGCAUACGACUAGAAACUCAACCUGUUGUUGGGCCAGAAUGCAGGCCCGCAAAGGCCCAGUAGGCCUACAGGGCAGCACAGAACAUGUAGGCCCAGUAGGCCUGCUUUGGAGAGGAGCUCGAGAGAGCUACCGCACGGGGGUUUAUAAACUAGUGCGGUCGCCCCUCGGCUAGCGAGGUGGGACUAAACUUGCCGCACCGCACCUGCACCAGUGCACCCCCUUUAGUACCGGGUCGUGCCACCAACCGGUACUAAAGGGGGGGGGGGCUUUAGUACCGGUUGGAGCCACCACCCGGUACUAAAGGGGGUCGCUUCCCGCCGCUUGGCCUGGCCAAAACAGGCCUUUAGUACCGGUUGGUGGCUCCAACCGGUACUAAAGGCCCCUCCUAUAUAAACAACACUUACGAAAAUUUCAGUUUCUCAUCUACUUCUUCUCCUUUGCACCGUCGCCCGCCGCGCCCCCUGUACGUCUCCAUCCCUCGUCGCCGNNNNNNNNNNNNNNNNNNNNNNNNNNNNNNNNNNNNNNNNNNNNNNNNNNNNNNNNNNNNNNNNNNNNNNNNNNNNNNNNNNNNNNNNNNNNNNNNNNNNNNNNNNNNNNNNNNNNNNNNNNNNNNNNNNNNNNNNNNNNNNNNNNNNNNNNNNNNNNNNNNNNNNNNNNNNNNNNNNNNNNNNNNNNNNNNNNNNNNNNNNNNNNNNNNNNNNNNNNNNNNNNNNNNNNNNNNNNNNNNNNNNNNNNNNNNNNNNNNNNNNNNNNNNNNNNNNNNNNNNNNNNNNNNNNNNNNNNNNNNNNNNNNNNNNNNNNNNNNNNNNNNNNNNNNNNNNNNNNNNNNNNNNNNNNNNNNNNNNNNNNNNNNNNNNNNNNNNNNNNNNNNNNNNNNNNNNNNNNNNNNNNNNNNNNNNNNNNNNNNNNNNNNNNNNNNNNNNNNNNNNNNNNNNNNNNNNNNNNNNNNNNNNNNNNNNNNNNNNNNNNNNNNNNNNNNNNNNNNNNNNNNNNNNNNNNNNNNNNNNNNNNNNNNNNNNNNNNNNNNNNNNNNNNNNNNNNNNNNNNNNNNNNNNNNNNNNNNNNNNNNNNNNNNNNNNNNNNNNNNNNNNNNNNNNNNNNNNNNNNNNNNNNNNNNNNNNNNNNNNNNNNNNNNNNNNNNNNNNNNNNNNNNNNNGGUGAGCGCGCACACACACACACACUUGUUAGAAAUUUUUCUGUUUUUUAGAAAUUGUUAGAAAUUUUUCUGUUUUUUAGAAAUGGUUAGAAAUGUUAGAAUUGUUAGAAUAGCUAGAAAUGUUAGAAUUGUUAGAAUAGUCAAAAAUGUUAGAAAUUUUUCUGUUUUUUAGUUAUAGAAAUAGUUAUAAAAAAGUUAGAAUUGUUAGAAAUUUUUCUGUUUUUUAGAAAUUGUUAGAAAUUUUUCUGUUUUUAGAAAUAGUUAGAAAUGUUAGAAUUGUUAGAAUAGUUAGAAAUGUUAGAAUUGUUAGAAAUUUUUCUGUUUUUAGUUAUAGAAAUAGUUAUAAAAAAGUUAGAAUUGUUAGAAAUUUUUCUUUUUUUAAGUUAUAGAAAUAGUUAUAAAAAAGUUAGAAAUUUUUCUUUUUUUAGUUCUAGAAAUAUUAGAAAUGUUAUAGAAAUGUUACUUUUUGCGGGCAUAUAGCUAGUAUUUGUUCUCGACGAUGCCCGGCCCGCAUCCUCGCCGUUGACCCGUCCGCGACGACGUCCGACUGACCCAUGUCCAGGACUGGGCUCCGCCGGGUUGGCACUUGGAGGUGCUGCCUGGAGGGGCGCGCCGCUUGAUGAGGAACCCGGCCCCGGGUCCCGUCGUCGACCCUGAUCUCAUUUGGUGGUGUUCGCGUGGGCUAGUUUCGGUGUGGAGGGAGCCGGCCCCGCCGGAGGUGGUACGUCGCCGUGUCAGGGAGGAGGACGAGCACGUCCAUCGCUACAUGGUUGCAUUAGAGGGCGGCAGGUUCUCCAAUACCUGGCAGUUUCUUCAGGGAUCUCACUUCAGCUACCCUGUGAGGGUUCCUUCUCUUUGGGUGUCCACCGCCCGCGCCGCAGGAACCGCGAGUGUCCUAGAUUCUUCUGUAGUAUUCGAUCUUUAUUAGCUACCUAGCCAGUGAUGUACUCGAUAUAUAAUAUUCAAGAUGAUGUAUUCGAGAUUAUAUAUUAUUCGAGACGAUGUAUUCGAGAUUAUAUCUAUUAUUCGAGACGAUGUAUUCGAGAUUAUAUCUAUUAUUCGAGACGAUGUAUUCGAGACUAUAUCUAUUAUUCGAGACGAUGUAUUCGAGAUUAUAUCUAUUAUUCGAGACGAUGUAUUCGAGAUUAUAUAUAUUAUUCAAGACGAUGUAUUCGAGAUUAUAUCUAUUAUUCGAGACGAUGUAUUCGAGAUUAUAUCUAUUAUUCGAGACGAUGUAAUUUGAAUACUAAAUUGUUUUAUAUUUCUUUUGACAUAGUUAAAUAAAAGCUAUGGCGGACAAUACCAACAGAGAGGGAGAACAGACCAUGUUCGAUAUAAUACGCGGGCCAGAUGAUGAUCAGAAUGAAGAAGAUUAUGACGGCUCCGAAUUUCUAAACAACACCGGAGAGGGUGAUAUGAUAUUCGAUCGCGACGACCGAGUUGAUGAAGUCAUGAACUACGAUUAUGACAACACCGGAGAGGUAUAUAUAUUUAUAUAAGCAGGCAUCUGGUGAUCAUCACAUGUUUUAAAUGAGUUGAAGAUAUAUUAACGAAUCGAUCUUUCUUCUUUCAGCCAUCCGGAUCGAGCAAAUCUUCAGGCAAAAGGACGAAACAAGGCCCGAACAAAAAGUUGAAGGAGGGCGUAAAGUAUAAUAUCGAGGCAAUCAAACGUAAUGGCGAACCAUUAGCGCCUAAGAAGAUUGCGGACAAGUUCGUUCGUCAGUGCGCAGUUCUUGUGAAGGACCAACUCCCGAUCUCCCUUCAAGAAUGGAGAAAGCCAGCAAAGCCACGUCCAGAUCUUACUUUUGUCGACGACAGACAAAAAUGUCUGCUUUGGGAUACUCUCAUGGAACAUUUCACCCUACCAGAUCAUUUCACAGAAGCAGAUGUGCAGAAAGUCAAGGACGCUGCUCUUAGGAAGAUGGCGGUUGCAUUCAAGAACCACAAGAAUCGUGAAUGGGACAAGUACGUCAAGGGAGGAAGGAAGACUCCAGUAUUCAAGGGAACACUAGAGAAUCAAAGUGCUCAUUGGGACGAUUUCGUGAAAUUCAAGGAUUCAGAAUUAUCUAAGGAACGGUCAAGAAUAAACAAGGCCAAUGCCGCAAAAAAGGAUAAGUUCCAUAAACUGGGGCCAGGUGGCUAUGCGGUGGGAAUGCCUAAGUGGGAUAAGUCUGAGAAAGAGAUGCUGGAUGCAAGUGUCACUCUAGAAACAUUGAGCUGGUCCCCCAGGUGCAGGACUUGGUUCUAUGCGCAUGGGGGGAGUUGGAAUCGAAGACAGGCAAAGUUUCCAAGAAGGCAUGUCUGGACAGAGCCGAAGAUAAGCUAAUUGUUGCAAUAGAAGAGGCUCGGUCCGGGUUGUUCGAGCCCAACAGAGAGAACGACGAGCUUACGCGUGCCCUGGGAAAUCCUGAACACCCGGGAAGAACACGAGGCAUGGGCGCUAUCCCGUGGUAUGAGGGGUUUUCGGACUGGAACGCCGACUACAGAACCCGUGCGAGAAAGAAGAUUGCGAAGGAUAAGAGGAAGAUGGAGGAGGAGCAGAGGAAGCUCGACUAUGAACGCCUUCAAGGCCUAGAAUCAGCGCACGCGGACUUGGCAAUCAAAUUCCAGUGGCAGCAGGAGCAGAUCGACUCACUUAGCCAGCAAAGGGGAUCUCAGCAGCUGCAGCAGCUAGCGGAUGAUCCAACAUUGGAUACCACCGCCCCAUCCAUGCCGAGAAGCAGCGUGGGUUCCGCCCCGUUUGACGCAAUGCUGGAUAGAUACCCCAUGGAUGAUAUCAUGGAGAACACUAACUGCGAGAUACACUUCAAAAUUAAGAACAUAUCCUUGAAGGUGGCGGACGGUGUUGCUUAUACAAAUUCCCCCGAUGCAACCUUCCAUUGCAACCCGAUUCCAGCAGGCUAUGCUUGUGUCGUGGUUGAUGAGGUGGUGGACCAAUAUUCGGGGCUAGAGCUUGACAUUCCUGGAGGUGACGAGGAGCACACACUCGGAGAUGCCAAACAUCGUAUCAUCCUAUGGAGAAAGGAUUGCAUCAUCUUUCGAAGGCCACCAACAUCGCGUCACCCGACUCCUCGUCGAAGUCCGCCACCGAGUCAGCAGACUCCCGCUCCUCCAAGUCCACCAACGCGUGAGGCCACUCCUCCUCCUCCAAGUCCGGCAAAGUGUCAGGCCACUCCUCCUCCAAGUUCGACACAGCGUCAGACGUCCACUCCUCCUCCAAGUCCGGCACAACCUCAGGCCACUGCAAGUCCGGCACAGCUUCAGGCCACUCCUCCUCGUCCAACUCAGCCCCGUCAGCCGUCUCUGCCGCCUCAGCAAUCGCAGAAGAGACACCCCGCAGCUAUGGUGCGUAGCGGUACGAGUCGAGGUCAUAGUACAGGAAGUACAGGCGGAGGCAAGCGAUAUAAAUAUGGUCCAAACCUCACUACUCCUCUUCCUGUGAGGGCUUACGACAUGACCGAGGAGCAAACCAAUGCCAUAGUGCGGGCAGAACUCGACGCCCAUUUUGGACCGAAACCGCCACCGCCGCCAAGGGAGAAAGUGCCUGUGGAAGUAGUUGACCACUUCAUUCGUAUGGCUCAACCACCAGCUCCUAAGCCUGUUGACACAGACUAUGAGCGCCACAUCAGGAAGUUACAUCGACAACAUCUACAGAAGGAGGCGAGCUCGAGCUCGAGCAAAUAACAAGCAGCUGUCAAAAAAUGCGGGAAAACCGUUGCCCAGCUGGGAGAACAGGUGGCAAAUCGAUCCCCCCGCUUGUUGUGCCGCCAACAACACGUGACAGUACGCGCGCCCAAUAUUAUUGUGGCCAAACAGUUUACGUUUCCGAGGUGGGCGGUGUGGUAAUAACCUAGGAGCAUAUAAUGCAGGCUGAAACUCUCAAAAUCACUGUUGGACAACUCCUCGAGAUCGAGGACAUGCCUGUGCUUAAAGAGGAGGAAAUAAAACGGAAAUAUGCCCGGGGCCAACCUUUGGUCAAGCCAGAAGAGGUCAAGAAGCUCCCAACGAGAAUGUAUGAAUUACAUGAAUGGUACAUGAACAUUACCAAGAGAUCCGAUCGAGAGUCCCUCAUGGUGCAAGUCAAGAAGGAUCAUUACUACCAUGAGAAACCUGUGACCGUUGAGUAUUCUGAACUGUUUCAGUUAUACAAUCAAGACGCACUCGACAAAUCUAUCAUCAGUUGCUAUUGUCUGUAAGUGAUUUCUUUUUGUAAUUUAAGUCUCAAGCUAGCUGUAGUGAUCCUUUUGAUCAAUCAUUAUCUGUAAUUAUCCUCACUAUAUUCUUUUCUGUGGUAUUAUGCAGGAUGAAGAUGUAUGAAAUGAGAAAAGGUGGACGCUAUGGCAUUGGGUUCAUUGACCCAAACACCGUUAAUGAAUACACAUGGAAAAUAAACAAGCAUUAUGAAAAGCAGGUAGAGGACAGCAUGCUAGAGUUCUUGAAGCGCCUCAAAUACAAUGAAGAUAUACUACUUCCUUACAACUUCUAGUGAGUCACACUUUCUUGUACUACAAAUUCUCUGUUUUUGCCUACUAGCUAGCUACAUGUUUUUGCUUACAUAUGCCCGCUUAAUUAAGACAUGCAAACGUGUGUGCAUGCAGAUUUCACUCGAUCUUGUGUAUCAUUAAAGUUGACGCCGGAACAGUUGAAAUACUGAACUCGCUACUCAAAGCAAAUAGUGACUAUAACAUCUUGUUUGGGAUAGUCAACAGGUAAUUUCAAUCAUUAUUAACUAUAUAUCUCGGCCUAUUUAGUUCGUCAUUUCAUGAUAUGAACUAUUUAAUAACCCCUUUAUUCAUUUUCUUUGUCGGCGGGCAGGGCUUGGGCAAGGUUCAUCAGCGUCACGGAAGGCGAAUGGAAACGACAGCUGAAAUGGUUUCGACCCAAGGUAAGUAAUUAAGUAGUACUAGUUAGCUAGCUAGCUGCCAUUUCUUUAAUUAUCAUGCUUGAUUAAUUAUUAUCUGAUCAAAUUAAAUUCCAUUCUCGUAAUAAAGGCCCUGAAGCAGGCGCAGGGGACUGAUUUGUGUGCAUUCUGCGUUUGCGAGAACAUUCGCAUGAUGGCGUCCGAAAGGAGCAGAUCUCAAAGACAGGAAUGGGUACGCUUGUCAGAACACUAUUCACAAUUUUUACACCAUUAUCGAUAUCUAGUCACACAACUAAUACACAUGCAUAUUGAUCUCCUUCUUAACAGUUCAAAGAGGUGCAGGACAAUCUCCUAGAAACGGAGCGCGUAGAAGCACUUCAAAAGGAAAUAGCGGGAUUUUUGCUCGACCAUGUCAUAAAUCCAAAAGGAGAAUACUAUUACCCGCUACCGCCUCCAUCGAUCAGGUCAUGAACCACUUCCAAUUGUCAUCGUGCUCCGAAGGCACCAAUUAGGCUAAUGCCACUGGCUCCGAAGGCAACAUGCAUAUGUAGGAGAAAUUGUAUAUAGCUAUACAUGUGUGUAUGUGUGAAUUAAUAUGGUGGUUUGUGAGACAUUGAUAAUAUAUAUAUGAUUGGUUCUACUAGAAAUUCUAUUUAUAUAUAUAUAUAUAUGCAUAACGUGUACAAUGUGUAGUACCGUAAAAUACCAGCAAACGAAAAAGAAUUAAAAUGGAAAACACAAAAUUAAAUGAAAAAGAAAUCAUAAAACCAAAAAAACCCCAAACAUUUUAGUACCGGUUGGUGUUACCAACCGAUACUAAAGGGCUCCCGGCCCCCGAAGUUGGCUCGUGCCACGUGGUUGCCCUUUAGCACCGGUUCAUGCUGAACCGGUACUAAAGGGGGGGCCUUUAGUGACCACACUUUAGUGCUGGUUAUGGAACCGACACUAAAGGGCCUUACGAACCGGUGCUAUUGCCCGGUUCUGCACUAAUCCACGUUCCACAUGCACAUGAAAAAGGGCAGCAACGCCAUGGUCAUUGGCGUUUCUAUGAUGGGCUGCAACGCCAGCGCCUUCGGUGUUUCUUAUCUGGUCCGCAAUGCUAGCUACCUCGACGUUUUUUCUUUGUUCAGAAACGCUAGCUAUCUCGGCGUUUCUAUGUUGGACAGAAACGACGCGGGCUGUGGCGUUGCUAAAAGGGUCAGAUCGUGAAAUACUUUCACAUCGAGUUCAUUUUGUGACAAAGUUCGUUCAAAGGGUCAGAAUAGUGAUUUCGUCCGAUCGACUCGGUGUCGGUGGUCCGUCGCCGCGAUGGACUCCUGGACCAGGCUUCAGCUGGGCCAGGCCCACGAUCUAAAUUUUCUGUAAAGUUAAUGUUAAUAGGGAAUCCUCAAAAAGAAAGUUAAUGUCGAUAGGGGAUUAUCAGCAGCUAGGCCAUCAGUUAUACAUUAUGAAAAAAAAUUGUCUAAAAAACGCAGUUAGGGCAUUUACAGCUGGACUUCACAGAUUUUAAACCGCUAGUAACUAUCAUCAAUGAAGAGAUGUGUAGAUUGGAAGAAUCCAACCAAUAGACACACAAAGACACACAAACAACGACCGGAUUCAAGUAGAUCCAUCAAAGACAAACACCAACCGAAUCAGAAGAGAUCCACCGAAGACACACCUUCACACGACCUCCGACGACAUUAGGCACAUUGCCAGAACCGAUGCUAGAUAAAAGGCCUUAGAGCAUCUACAGCUGGGCGCCUCGUACCGGUCUCAAACGUCCGGACGGCCCGCUCGGUCACUGGCCGGUCUCGUUUUCCUGACCCAGUCGGGCGCCUCAAAUGCCUAGGCUGUCCGGCACCCCUCAUAUCCAGCCCAAAUAUGGGGCGGAUAUGGGGGCGCCCGGGCACGCCCGCCACGUCACCCCGGCCCACCCCUACCCCACUCUGUCCCCACAAAUAUCCCCAAUCCGGAAACCCUAACUCACUCCACUCUUGAUUUGUCUCCUCUUCUUCCCUCCGAUUUCUACGAUUCGAUCCACUCCAACCACUCCGGUGACUGCGGCCACCAUGUCGAGCGUCGGCAGCCGCUCGUCCUCCGACUUUGACGAGGAUCUAGCCCUCCGCAUUGCCCUCGAGAGGUCCAAGGUGGAAACGGGUGGUAGUUUUGGAUCGGCCUCGCCUUUCCCCCGUCGACGCUGGCUCCUCCUGGCCCACGCUUGGCUCCACACGGGUUGCGCAGUCCGCGCCUCCCCACGUCGUCCCCUUGCCCCACCGCCUGUUGUUCCCCCACGCGGGCAGCAGUGGGUGCUUGUGCCCACCACCAUGGCGGCGGCCCGAACAUGCAUGACAGAGUCAGAGGCGCGAGCCGCCCGCCGCGAGAGGCAGUGGGCAAGGGAGAAGGACGCGGCAGAGAGCUCUGUCCGCCGCCGCCACGGGUUACCCGCGGAGCCCGACGAGGACGAGCGGCUUCUCGCGUGGGUCUGCCGCUAGUCGCUUAUGACGGCGGAGACAGACGCUCAGCGGCUCCGCCGGAAGAAUGCGAAGGCUCUCGGGCUAGCUAUCGAGCACUCUGAACGUGAGGCCAAGGAGAACGUGAUGGAGGCGGCUCGGCUGGCCAAGCUGAAGCGACAGCAGGACCGGGCCGUCCGACGCCUCAAGGGCCUCAUCAUCGUCUCCUCCUCUUCCGACGGCUACAACUGCCCUGACGACAGGAAGGGGAAGGGGCCGGCCCGGAAGUGGUGAAGAUCCGCUUUGCUUCAAUUUAGUUUUGAGUUUUAGAUGUAGUCUCAAGUUGUCCGUCGUUUGAACUUUGGUGGUCGUUUGAGCAUAUGAUCUUCUGGUGAAAGUAUUGUGCUUGCAUGUGUCCAUUUGUUGAUCUACGUAUUUUGAUCGACAUUACAUGGUUUAGUAUGAAUAUAGAGGAUCGGAUAUGAGAUACACGGAUGUGGACGAGGCUAUUAGAGAAGUUCCCGGUCACUGCCCACAGACGCGUCCGGGCGUGUCCGCGGGCGUUUAAGGGGUCAUAUUUGUCCUCUGCAGCUAAGCAUCUACAAAGAGCAUCUACAACCGGCAUCGUCAAAUCCUCCUCAAACAUGGACGUUCCCGGUCAGUGAUCGGAUAGGAGAGAGAAGGAAAAAAUAACCUAACCGGACCUCUUAUAUCAUCCCUGUAUGUCUGGGCUGUCCUCGAACCCUCGUAUUAAAGACAAAUGUAGGGUGAAUACGAGGACUCACGGACGCGCCCGGUCAGUCUGCCACGUAAGACGCGGCCCACCCUGAACCACUUUUUCUCUUUUCUUUAUUCAUUCUUUUCUUUCUCUCUGUUCAUCUCCAUUAAUCAUGUGCAAGUGAUCGGACAUAUAAGAAAGAAAAUGAGGAGUGUGGAUGUAUGAACGGACAAAUAAGGGUUCAAAAUGAACACGCCUGGUCACUGACCCUGCGUGUCUUCGGACGUUUAUGGGGUCAUAUUUGCUGAGUCCGACUGUAGAUGCUCUUUCGGAGAAGAGUUGUAUAGGAUCUGCAUUAGAUGAGAUCAAUAAGAUCUUUUUUUAAGAUACAAGACAAGUUCAAAAAUUAUGAAGAAAAUUGAAGACACUCAUCCAAUCUUUGAUGUACAAACUUAAAAAGUUUCAGCUCCUAAUUCAAACUACACUUAGACAAUUAAAAAAAUCGGAUAUGAAUACUAUCAAAAUCAGUGGAAGGCAGGCGUCCUCGCGUGCUGCGCCACUUACACAUCAUGGAGAACGGCGUUUUGGCUCUCGGAAGCGCGCGCUCCCAUGUGAAUAGUAAACAAAAAAUAUAAUAAAUGUUUUUAAAAAAAUCUUUUUUAGAUGUUCGUGUUAGUGCCACAAGCAUCCUUAAAAAGAUUUCAUGGGAAACAGCAGCGGUGUUUCACUGGUGAAAAAACAAAUUUAGGAUGAUAUUUUGGAGUAACAUUUGCUGUUUAUCUUUUUCACAGGCUUAAAUGUUUAAUCUUUUUGCCUACAAAUUUGGAUGUAGCAUUGGAUGUGACAGUACACAUGGGAUUUUUGUUGAAAUUUUUUUGGCAUUUCAAAAAAUAUCCAACGGAUUUCCGGUUGUGAUAUCAUUUGUUUUUCCAACUUGCUGAUUGGGGUCAAUUUGUACCCCAUCCUCGUCUCUUUGAGCUGACCCAGAUAGUAACCUUCACACUGACAGGUGGGUCCCACCCGAUUUAACCAGAGAUAAAAAAGAGAGGAGAAACCCCAACCUUAUCUCGUAAUCGCUCCGCUUUCCCGCGUCCGUCCACCGCGCCGAUGCCUUCUGCUCCUCCUCCUCCUCCUCACACUCCACUCGCCGCCCCGACCGCCGCCGUCUCCGUCACCUGCUCCUACCGGGAGGACGAUGACGGCGCCGCCUCGUGGUCGCUCUCCUCCGGCGCGCCCUCCUCCUCCUCGCCGUCGUCGUCGCGGGGGCGCCGCCCGCCGCCUUACCGGCGGCUCCUCCACGACGAGGCGCGGCGCCUCCGCCAGGAGCGCCGCGGCCAGGGCGCCGGCGCCGGAACGCCCCGGUGGGUGCGCCGCACCGAGGGCCAGAUGGCCCGGUACGUCGAGGACGACCGCGCCGGCCACGUCCACGGCCGCCACGUCGUCGCCGCGGCACGCGCCGCACGCGCCACCGCGUCCCGCCCGCCCGCCGGCGGGUCCGCCAUGCGAGAGGCCAUGGCCUCCUUCGUCGCCAAGCUCACCUUCCGCGAGAUGUGCGUCGUCCUCCGCGAGCAGCGCGGGUGGCGCCAGGCCCACGAUUUCUUCUCGUGGAUGAAGCUCCAGGUACAGAACAAGAUUCCCCCACACAAUCGCAGCAUCCGAACCAUUUUUUUUCUUCAAAUUUUCCGUGAUUUAAUCCGCCCCGAUGCGAUGUUGAGCUGAAUCCUCAGCAAUUUUGCUCCGUUUUGAGCUGAAAAUUCUGAGCGCUAGUUGAACAAUUCUGAUUCAUGCGUGUAUAAUCAACCAAUGGAUCAUUGCUGUUCAUCUUGGUUCUUUUUUAUUCUCAGACUUUGAUUUUUUGGAAAAAUCUCGGUCAUUUUUCGUUCAAAAUUCAUCACUCGUUUUUCAUUCAAGAAUUCAAAUUUUGGAUGGUGCUUUUCGAAAAGCUCGUCAAUUUCGUUAAGGGGCGUGUAUAUAUUUCACAAAACGAAAUCCAAAACCUUGGUCCGCACCUAUUUUUCUUGCAGCUGUGCUACGAGCCCAGCGUGGUCGCCUACACCAUCCUCCUCAGGGCGUAUGGCAACGCCGGCAAGAUCGAGCUCGCCGAGGAGGCGUUCCUGGAGAUGCUCGAGGCCGGCGUGGAGCCGGACGCGGUGGCGUGCGGCACCCUGCUGUGCGCGUACGCGCGCCGGGGGAGGCACGGCGACAUGAUGCUCUUCUACGCCGCGACGCGCAGGCGCGGUGUGGCGCCGCCCGUCUCCGCCUUCAACUUCAUGCUCUCCUCCCUGCAGAAGCACAGGCUCCACGGCAAGGUGAUCCAACUCUGGAAACACAUGAUGGAAAUGGAAGAAGCCAACAAUGUGGUGCCAAAUCACUUCACAUACACAGUUGUGAUCGGUUCAUUUGUCAAGGAGGGUCUCCUGGAGGAGGCCAUGGAUGUCAUGGGGAAGAUGAGGGCCUCCCGACUCAUCCCGGAGGAGGCGACGUACAGUUGCCUGAUCAGCUUGAGUUCCAGGCAUGGCAGAGGGGAGCAGGUUGUGAUGCUCUAUGAGGAGAUGAGGGCUCAUGGCAUUGUCCCCAGCAACUACACAUGUGCAUCCCUCCUGGCACUCUAUGACAAGAGUGAGGACUACUCGAAGGCGCUCUCGCUCUUCUCGGAGAUGGAGCGAAGCAGGGUUGUCAUUGAUGAGGUCAUCUAUGGGAUCCUCAUUAGGAUCUAUGGUAAGAUCGGGCUCUACGACGAUGCGCAGCGCACUUUUGAGGAAAUUGACAGUGCGGGUCUUCUGAGUGAUGAACAGACUUAUGUGGCAAUGGCUCAAGUUCACAUGAAUGCUCGCAACUAUGAUAAGGCAUUGCAGGUUUUCGGUUUGAUGAGAUCGAGGAAUGUGAAGCCUUCAUCGUUCUCUUACGGCGCUCUUCUUCGAUGCCAUGUCGCGAGGGAAGACAUAGCUGCAGCUGAAGAUGUCUUCAGAGCUCUGUGCAAAUAUGGUCUCCCUGAUGUGUUCUGCUGCAAUGACCUACUGAGAUUAUAUGUCAAGCUGGGCCAGCUAGAGAAGGCAAGUGCAUUCAUUCUGAAGAUGAGAAAAGAAGAUAUCCAGCUUGAUGAGGCCCUCUGCAUGACUGUAAUGGAAGUUUGCUGCAAAAGCGGGAUGAUCGCCGAUGCGGAUAAGAUACUGAAAGAGAUGAACAAUGGUGGAGUGACCAUGAAGAGUUCAACAAUGGUUUCUAUGAUAGAGAUGUAUGCUAGAAACAGAACCAGUGUGAUGCAGGAACAAGAUAGUUCGUCGAAGGCACUAGCCUGUCAGACCGACAGUUCGGCACUGAACGCGGCGUUGAAGUCAUUGUUGGACACACCUGGGGGUUCGUCCAUCGCAUGCCAAUUGAUCAGAAAAUUGGCUAGGGAAGGUGAGGAAGCCAGGUACCACACAGAUCAUGGUGUUCAUGCCUAACCAUACUGUCAUCCACUGCUGUUUAUUUAUUUAUUUUUCUGCAGGGAGGACAUGUGAGGCAAAAUUCCUUCAUGAACAGCUGACUCAGUUGGGAGUCAAGCCUGAAGAUUCAGCAACAGCCACUCUCAUUGUCCAAUAUGGCCAGGAACAGAAGUUACAUCAAGCAGAGGAACUGUUUGAGUCAGAAUCGACAUCGUUUCCAAUAGGAGCGCCUGUCUACAAUGCCAUGGUCGAUGCAUUAUGCAAGUGCGGCAAUAUCGAGGAGGCGUAUCGUCUCUUUAUGAAAAUGGCUGAUCAAGGCCAUAGCAGAGAUGUUGUGACAAUUAGCAUACUUGUCACUCACCUGACCAAACAUGGUAAAUAUUUUUUCUAACUGCUACCAAUCCUUAUGCAGUAAGUUUGGUGAGGCGCUUCGCUUCUGUGUAUACUCACACUGCGACAUUACUCCCAGGAAAGUUUCAGGAGGUGGAGAACAUCAUACAUGGCUGCUUCCAUGGUGAAGUUGAGCUUGAUACUGUUGUGUAUAAUACAUUUAUCAAGUCGAUGCUCGAGUCAGGUCUGGAUAAACAUCUUUUCCUCUUCAUAAGGUGGGCAAGCAAAAUUUUCAGGGCAUGGGUGCCAUGGCUAACUGCUACAGCUUUAGUUUCCAAACAGGCAAACUAUACUCAGCUGUCAACAUAUAUGAUCGCAUGAUAUCCACUGGGGUUCGUCGGUCCUUGCAGACUUUCAAUAUAAUGAUAAGGUAGAUAAUCUUGAUAAAACCACAGGAAAAUGGGAGUUGGGAGUAUGCAACUGUUUUUUCUCUUUUAUGUUUGUGUUGAGACUUGAGACCACUUUGUCAUUAGCUUCAGUUUUCUUGUUCAGUGUUUAUGGCCUAGGAGGAAAGCUGGACAAGGCUGCUGAAAUGUUUGCUGCUGCACAAGAGCUAGGCUUGCUGAUCGACGAGAAGAUAUACACUAACAUGCUUAACUUCUAUGGAAAGGCUGGUUAGUCCCUUCUACCUUGCGUAUAGGAAUCAAAGAAGAUUUCCCUUUUCAUGUUCGACGAGUUUUUCGCACUCUCGUUCGUACUAUUCAGUGCAAUUUCUUCAGGGAGACAUCAGGAGGCGUCUUCACUAUUCGAUAGAAUGAAGGAACUUGGUAUCAUGCCUGGAAAGGUAUGCUUCCGUUGGUGUCUGACUUCUGAAACUACAGUUAUCUGCAUUGAGAUUGACUACUGUGACUGAAACUUGCAAUCAAUGUGCAGAUCAGUUUCAACUCCAUGAUCAAUGCCUAUGCCACUUCCAGGCUGCAUGAUGAAGCAGAGAUUGUUUUCCAGGAGAUGCAAUCACACGGUCAAGUUCCCGACUCGACGACGUACCUUGCAUUGAUCAGAUCAUACUCAGAAAGUAGAUGCUACUCCAAAGCUGAGAAAGCCAUCCAGAUGAUGUUGAGCAGCGGCAUAACCCCUUCAUGCCCUCAUUUUAGCCACCUCAUUAUUGCCUUUCUGAAGGCAGACCAGAUUGAUGAAGCCCAGAGGAUCUGCGGCCAGAUGCAGGAGAUUGGUGUGGCUGUUGAUUUAGCAUGUUGCCGGGCAAUGAUGAGGGCGUACCUUGAGCACGGUCGCGUCGACGAGGGCAUAUCGCUCUUCGAGACAACACGCGGGUCACUGAAACCUGACAGCUUCAUCCUGAGUGCUGCAUUUCAUCUCUAUGAGCAUUCAGGCAGCGAGCCUGAAGCUGGGGAUGUGCUGGAAGCCAUCGGUCUACAUGGUGCCUCUUUUUUGAGAAGUUUAAAGGUUGGAUCAAAGUUGGAACCAACUUAAUAACGACCAUAUCAUGUGCCCAUCAAGCCAGCAACCAUCACAGGUAUCUUCCUCUUGCAUGUAUGUUCUUCCACAAAUUUAUUUCCUACUGAUUUGUGUUACUAGAUCCAGAUGAGCCCAUUGUUGUGUAUGUUGUUCUAGAUGAUAUUGUACUAGUUCAUAUGUACAUUAGGACAAGUUUUAUACCAAGAUGUUGUAAAAUGUACAUUUCAGAAAAAUAUUUCAGAAACAGUGAUAUAUAACUUCUCCAAAAUGUAUAACUUAAUGUUGUACUGAUCUGUUUGAUCAACUCACAGCAUUUAACAUGUUACAAAGAAUGAAGACUUAACAGUUCGCCGUCUGAAGCUUGAAGGUGUAUUUUCAACAGCAAAGGAGGUCUGUUACUCUGCUUCCACUUAAAAAUCCCAUAUACAGGGUGAAUGGUUAGUCUAGUAAUGAGAUUGUAAAAUUGAAAAAUAAUAAACAGUUGACCAGGGUUCUUCCAAGUUCAAUCUGCAAGUAUGGAGAUAUAACUUUUUUGGUAUUACCCAUUAAAGAAUUGCCUGCUAUUGUGCCAUUUACCUCUGCAAGUGGCCGAUUUGUCUCAACUUUCCUAGUCAGAUACAUACAGUUAGGAAGAUUCUCUGAAACUUUCCGGUAAAAAAAGAUAUUCUCAGAAGUUCAAACUUCCAAAAGAAGGUGACAUCUAUUCUACUUUUAUUUUGUGUUAUAAGCACGCAAAACAAUAUGUUCCGUGUGAUUAUUAAUGUUACUCAGAGAUGGGACGAAAAUAUAGCUGUCAUAUUUCAAUGUGGGGCUUAAAAGAUGUACUUAUUUCAUAAAAAUCGCAGCAAUUGCACCUUUCUAUCUAUUUGAAUUGUCUGAGAUAGUUUACCAGUCAACGUGCCAGGAAAUUAAAGUGCUGGACUGGGUUGGGCCGUUGUUGUCAAUCUCUCAAUUUCUGAAUGUUAGUGAUUUAUAAGAAUUCUCAUACAUUGAACAUCUCUGCAGUUUAAGAAAACAAAGUUGACAAAGUUUCUGACUUGUCACAUAUGAUUCAUCCAGUGCAAUGCUAACCAGAACAGCUAGAAACUAACUCUGCCAAAGCUCUGCCACUACCAACAAGCUCCAGCCACUGUAAUAAACAUCUCCAACCUGGAAUCAUGUUUAAUCUGUUUAUUUGGGUUUAGAGCAUCUGCACAGAAAAAAUAAAAGCAUAAUGGAGGUAGAAGUAGCUCCUCAGCGCAAGAUUUCUUUGUGGGUUCAUCGCUCAGUCGGAAACCAAAUUUUCAGCCAAUUUACUACUCUCAUUGAAAUAACAGUUCAAUUACUUGGGGUUGAGGCAAACAAGCUGUCUCAAUUGCAAAUUCGAGUAUAGAGUCAUCAUGCUGAAAUUUAAAAUCUGUUGAGACCAACAUAAUUAGUUCCUACCCAAGUUACGAAAUUCGACUAUCAACAACGAAGAAGGUGGAUAGAUUCUUACAAAUCCUACAAAUGAAUCCACUCCAAACAAGAUAUUGCAGCUGUGCAUCACGGUGAUCACCAGCACCGACGACAAGAGAGCAUGCUAGGGACAACCCACAUAGGUUGCACCCUGUUGUCACGGCCCAUGAAAAUGAAGAUGUUUGGAUUGAGUUUAGAGCCAUCUCCCUGCAGCGGCUUGCCCACCUCAAGUGCAACCCAACUUUCAGCCUCAUGGCAGUAGCAGUAUAUUGGCAUAUAAGAUAAUCCAGUUUGCAUAUUCCAGUUCAACAAGAAGCAAGGAAAUUUGAAAAUCCUUAUAAGCUCUGUUUUGGGAGCUUAUCUUCCGCAGACAUCUUGCGUCUAGAGGAGCUGCAAAGCAGAUAGAUUUUUAAGCUUACAUACAAAUUGGAAGAGAAGAUGGACUGUCAAAGAUCCUUUUCCAGUAGCACAAACAAAGAGGGCCUGAAGCAAGUGAUUGUCUAAUCUCUACUUGGGAAGACUUCCAAUCUAGAAAAACCAAAGUUGAACAAAUUUAGAGUACAUAGGGGGGAAAGGGGUGGAGAUCUGAACUCCAGCUAAGCCUUCACAAACAAAUUUGGAGUAAUAUUGCAAGAUUGCUGUCUCUAAUCUUCAAACUAGAUAUAUGCACACACGAUUACAGAUAGGUACUACAUAACAAGAAAGGAAGGCGUCAUACCUCAAGCAGCCUGUGCUCAACUGCCAGAGAAGUGAGGGUCUAGCUGAAUACAGGAUCAGGCAACAGCUUUAUCUUGAAGACUCCAAGAACCUGAUGUUUAUGAAGAACUCCUGUGUUGAUCUCGGGUUUGCAGCUGUGUUUAAAUUACACUGAUCGGUUUAGGACCAGCUCAUUGAUUAAACGAAUCAACCAUUAGCUGUAGAUGAUAACUUUGUCAAGUCAAAUGAAGUAUAUGGACCAUGUGGCAUAUCGUGGAAAGCGAUCAAAACUUGAUAUGAACCCCCAAAAAUAAUGUAUAUGAGGGCGCCCCUCGAUGUAAUUGAUUAGUAUAAACUAGGCAGGAGGCCACGUACAGAUGACGCAUCACCGACGAAAACCAAAGCAGAACAAACGUAACAUAGGACCAACUAAGCGGGACGAAAUCAAGAAUAUCACCUCCCUUUAAUAGUAGGUAUAGAUAUAGAUAUACGCGAGAUGGUACUAAUUUGGGUCUGCCUCAAAAAGAUGUCCGUUCGCAUAGGAAUCGCGUGACUGGGCCGACCCAUUUGGAUUGACCUCGUGCGAGAGGUCGGGCGAACCUUUUUUUUAUAAUGGGCUUUUGGUUGGACUGAACUUUUUCUCAAACCUUGGAGUAGACAGGGUGCAGCGGCCGCUACAGUAUCAAAUAAUCCCACCCCGUAGAAACUAGGCGCCACAUAUAGAUGACGCAUCACCGACGAAAACCAAAGCAAAACAAACGUAACGUAGGACCAACUAAGCGGGACGAAACCAAGAAUAUCACCUCCCUUUAAUAGUAGGUAUAGAUAAUUCAGUAAACAUGUGACAGCGGCGUAGUUACCGCUAACCACAUCUGUGUGUGCAUACCGAAUUUGUAUGUCCUUUGGUUGCAGCUUCGCUGCCGUGCAUACGGCUCCCAAUGCAAGAAUAACCUGUAUGAUCCUAAAAUUAAAGAAAGUUGGUCUCAUACGCUUCAGGUUCCACAAGGGAAAGGAUCAAAUGUGUAAGCCAGCGCCAAAGUGAACACAAACAACUUACAACACCAAGGAAAUGUGCAAUAAGAACAUCCCAAUCAUUUUCGCGCAGUGAAGGAAGCAAGUGCUCAAUAACACCCUUGUCUACCUGAUACAUAUAUAAUAUGACUGGUAAUUCUAUGGAAAUUAAAUGGAAGGAAAAGGUAGCUCAUCGCACAGCAAGGGCAAAAUGGUACUGAACAGAUGAGAUGCCGUGUGUUGAGAUCUUUAACAUUAAAAGAAGGGUAUGGAAAUGACUUGUUGAAGUGCUCUGGAUGCCAAGUCCUUUAACAUACUGCCAUUAAUCAAAAGAAAUUCACAGAAGAGAUGGACAUAAAUACCGCAGUACACCAAAAUUGUGCAGGCAAGAUAACUUGAUAAAAGUCGUUUGAAGCUGAUGGGUGGCAUCAGAUAAUAAGCGGAGUUUUGUAAACAUAUCAAAGGUUCAGUGUUUACCAUAUAAUAUUUCACAUCAUUUGCAGGGUUUGAUAAAUUUGUAUGGGGAAAAAAGAACGACAAAUAAAGUGCUUUAUGCCAGGCAUCAGAUAAUAAGCGGAGAUUAUUAGUCCACACAUGGAAUUUUCCAUUGAGAGUGUAGGAUAUCUGAUCAACACUUGCCAGCAGGAAAGUAAAAUAAUUCUAAAUAUUUUAGAACAAUAUCUGAGAAGGGGUUCUUGGUUAGACCAUUUGACUCCAGAGCAAUAGCAAAGGCCGCAAAGGGUUGGUAAGUAAACCGUCUCACUAUCCACGCUCGCUGCGUCCCCCUCAGAUCCGGGUCCAGUAAAAAACUUGACUCCCAACUAAGAGGGAGAAUAGGAACUAACGCAAACAUGAGAAAAGGCAGAAGAAAAAAAGUAAUUGAAAAUGUAAUGUUUGAGACGAUUGGAGAAGAUAGAUAAUGUUUCUUCUCGGAUGCCAACCACAAGGCUAGCUCGGAUGAUGCAGACAUAUUUGUCCAGGAGGCCAAAACAGAGACCAGAUAGCUAAAAAAACACAAACGAAUAACAAAAUCAGAUAUGUUGUUGAUUCAGAUCCAUCUGGGUAAUAAUAUACUCCCUCCGUUUCAUAUUAGUUGUCUCUGAAAUGGAUAUAUCUAGACAUAUUUCAAUACUAGAUAGAUCCAUUUGAGCGACAACUAAUAUGGAACGGAGGGAGUAGAUAUCAUCAAUGUAUGAGUCAGGCCACUACUUUUUAACACUCAGCAACGGGAUACAUGAACGACAAUCUCCAAUCAUAGGAAAGAAAAAUCAAACGGAAACCUUAUGAAGUACCCUCAGUUCAGGCCCACAGUUCUUUGACACUGAGAAUUAAUGGUUGAGCUGUCAGACAAUGCUUUCUAGGCAAAUUCAGACCACAGUGAUGCUCAGAGCUCAGUGCAUAUCUCCAUCCAUGACACUAGAAGGUACACACGAUCAAACAAUACUCGAGCAAAAGUUAAGGAAGAGGAUCAUGGAACAACAUAAUAUUCAAAUUGGUAGACCAGGAACAAUAGAAGAUCAAAUCAGUAGGCCGUAGGGAUUAUGCUUAUGAUUUUCAUCAAGGAAGAAAACUCAGGUCUCAAAUAUGUGCCAUCACUGGACUCACCGAACUGAGCUGCAGAGAAAACGACGACUUAAAAACCAUCAAACACUCUAUAAAAUUUUAACAUAGAUCAAAUCAGAAACACAAAAGUUCUAUUUUGGAGGAAAUCUGGUAGGUGGGCAUCUGAAUUGAAGACUUUCACAACAUGGCACACAGAGCGCACCAAUCAGUCCCGAAAGAUGUGUGUUUUGUUCAUGAUUUUCAUCACUCUCCGGCCAGAUUCUCGACAAUACACAUAAUAUCUAAAGAAUUUUGAAAGUAUUCGGAAAAAUUACACACUUAAGAAGCAAAAACGACGAUCAAAAGCUGUUCAAUUUGGCCUCAGAAUUGCAGAAUGAGCAUGGGAGCACAUCAACCAAUCAGUCCCGAAAGAUGGUAUGAUUAAUAGGUUUUUCAUCACCAGGCAAACAUAAACAGAAAUACAGAUACACAAACAUCCAGGUCUACAGUACAGAACUUAGAUUACUACAGAAAUUGCAGAUUUGGCAGCAUGGCACAAUCAGUCCCGAUUGUUCGCGUUUCUCGCGUGCAGAAACCCAUUGAGAAGCACAACAUUGACCACCAGAAAUAACACUGCUCAGACAUCCAAGGAAGUAGCAGCAUCAGCUCUUAUGCGGCAACUGCAAACGUUUUGAAAAACAAGCCUUAACUUCAUCAUCAUUUCCAUAAAUUUUCCAGUAGCUACAGCUAUAUUAAAGAGGCAAUUUAAUCACAAUGAUAUAACAGGAAUCAAGUCCCAGAUCCUAUAACUGGUUUCCAAGCAAAGACAGACCUAAAAUUCAUCACUGGAUAACAGCACCGAGUUAAGAUUGUUUUCAAUACCUGUGGAAAAAUCCAUAAAUCAAAUAAACAAGAAAAGAAAUGGCAAAAGAACAAGACAGAAGGAGGUCCUCCAGGCUUUCAGAAGAGGGAGCUUGUUUGUCCUCAUCACAACAAUCUUCUCCAGGAAAAACAAAAGCAAAACAAACAUAAAACAAAGAAAACAAAACAAAACAAAGUAAAGUUAUAAAAUUAAGUCAGCACUGUCCUCCAGGCUUCCAAACACAGAAGACAGCAAGACAGAAGGACGUAGAGAAGUAACUGAACUAAAAAGGCAGAUGGCUCGGUCAUACAGAAAAUCAAUCUCAAAAGAGAAAAUGAUACUAGUAUACUGCCCAAAAUCACCAGAUGAUUUAGAAUAAUACUUGUAUUACUUAGACGUGACGUGACCCAUAAUCCACUGAUGUUCCACGAAUGUCAACUCGCACAGAAUAACCCUGACCACUCGUACCAAAACACACCGCAACCCAGUCUCAGAUAACAUAGGACACACAUAAUAACUAAGAAGCAGGCUUCACCGCCUCUGCAACAGAUCAUCGACUCAUUUAGUCGACCUCCUCGAUCUUGGGGCCAGCACCGCCGGAAGCAGCCGGGGUGUCGUCGUCCAUGCCGCCCUCCAUGUCGGCACCAGCGCCCUGGUACAUCUUGGCGAUGAUGGGGUUGCACAGGGCCUCCAGCUCCUUCAUCUUGUCCUCGAACUCGUCCGCCUCAGCGAGCUGGUUCGUGUCCAGCCACUGGAUGGCAGCGUCGAUGGCGUCCUCAAUCUUCUUCUUGUCGUCCGCUGGCAGCUUGGAGGCAAUCUUCUCAUCCUUGAUGGUGUUGCGCAUGUUGUAGGAGUAGUUCUCCAGGGCGUUCUUUGACUCCACCUUCUUCUUGUGCUCCUCAUCCUCAGACUU